rnacentral:tRNA from 1 species
GGAGAGGUGCCAGAGCUGGUCGAAUGGGCCUGACUCGAAAUCAGGUGUGCCUUCGGGCACCCAGGGUUCGAAUCCCUGCCUCUCCGCCA